rnacentral:rRNA from 1 species
AUUGAACGCUGGCGGCAUGCUUUACACAUGCAAGUCGAACGGUAACAGGCCGCAAGGUGCUGACGAGUGGCGAACGGGUGAGUAAUGCAUCGGAACGUGCCCAGUCGUGGGGGAUAACGCAGCGGAAGCUGCGCUAAUACCGCAUACGAUCUAUGGAUGAAAGCGGGGGACCGUAAGGCCUCGCGCGAUCGGAGCGGCCGAUGUCAGAUUAGGUGGUUGGUGGGGUAAAGGCUCACCAAGCCAACGAUCUGUGGCUGGUCUGAGAGGACGACCAGCCAGACGGGGACGGGGGCAGGGCCGAGAGUCCGAGGGGAGGCAUCAGGGGGGGAUUUUGGCGAAGGGGCGCAAGGCUGAGCCGGCAAUGCGGGGUGCAGGAAGAAGGCCUUCGGGUUGUGAACUGCUUUUGUACGGAACGAAACGGUCCUGGUUAAUACCUGGGGCUAAUGACGGUACCGUAAGAAGAAGCACCGGCUAACUACGUGCCAGCAGCCGCGGUAACAC